GCUUGCAUUGGCAGAACAUAUACUAAAAUUGAAGUGAUACAGAGAAGAUUAGCGUAGUCCCUCUGCAAGGAUGACAUUCAAAUUUGUGAAGUGUCCUUUAUUUAU